ACAUUGAUCCAAACAAAUUUUUUUUCCACAGUAACUUCUGGACCCACAAUGCAUUGCUUGUUAAAUUACCUUCUCACAAGAAUAACAAUAAAAGUUCAACAAAUAAUAAACUCGCCUUUAUUUAUUGGAUAAAUUGCAGAUAAAUAGUCAAUAAAACAUUCUUCAUUAAAAUAAGCACUUUUCUUUCUUCAGUUUAAUGGUAAUGAAACUUACAUACCACAUCAUGUGCCGUCAGAGUCUAGACGCACCAAAUGUCACGUGCGGUUUAUAGAGACAGGCCUAAAUACAAUGAUAAACAGUACACUGAAAAGAAUGUUUGAGGCAAACAGAAGAUGCAUGGAAUCCCCCCUGAACAUGGAGACAGCACAGUUACAUGCAUUAUCAAAGCUGGAUUAUUAGGUGCUACAUUUAAACUCAACCAUAAAUAUUUGCUUAUUUUUAAGGUAUACAGAGAUCCCUUGAAGAAAUAAAGAACAGCUUUUAAUUAGAGAAUUCUCUUUUAAUACAGGUACAAAGCUGUCAAACCAUGAUGAGUAAAAAAGAUGUAAGGAAAUUUGUUACAGCCUCCCAGAUUCAGCAAAUAAUGCUAGAGAAUUAGUUAAUGCAAGACCUAAUGAUGGAAAUGUACCAGGUUCCAUGGCUAGGAGAAUGUCAGAAAGCCUCAUCAUUAGUGUGUUACAGAGGCAGUAAAGGAAAUCGAUGGUGAUGUUUCUUGUGUUGGUGAUGAGAAUCAGAGUGAGGAGGAAAUGGAUGACAGUCAAGACAAUCAUGAUUUCCACACUUUAACUCCAGGAAAAGGAAGCCACUUUCUGAUCACAGAUCCACAACAGAAAUGGAAGAUUCUGCAUGCAAGUGACAGAAGAUACAAAAAAUCCCAUGGACAUCAUGUGAAAUUAUUUUAAUCAAAAAACAUUUCAGAAAAGAUUACAAAAAUGUAAUAAGAACUUAGAUAACUGUUAAAGACCAAGUAUAUAAUCUAGUUUAAAAAAAAAAAACAGAGAAAAUCUUGAUUUACACACUAAUUUCAAUUGAUAUAUUUUUGAGAAAAAUGAUAAACACUGUGUUUUGGAGCCACAAUUAGCAGUAUUGGGGGUUAAAUUGUUUUAUCAGUUUUAUCAUUAUGAAACCAGCAUGGACCAUGAUACUUGCAUGACUGAAGAGUGCAGAAGAAACUACAUGAUGUGUGUAGCAAAUGAUUUUGAAGUACAUGUAUUAAAUAUUCUGUGCAGAAGGAAAUUUUUUCCUUUUUUUUUUCGUGAACAUGUUUUCAAGUAUCGCAUGACCUUUCUGAAAGUGAAAAAAAUGUGCAUGUCCCAGUUAAGUUUGAUCAAGUCUCCAAAUAAAGUUAUAUGCAGAAA